CUCAUAAGGUUUCCAUGGUGACAAGACCAAGAAUCCAGGGGGACUUGGUGAAAUAGGUCAAAUAACCACCCUCAGAACAUUAUUCUAGACACUGGGGUUGGGGAGGACUCUGUAGUCAUGGGAGAAGGGUAGAGCUGAGAGCAUGCUAGGCUGGGGCACCAAGAAGAGCCCACAGAAGGGUCCUGUGCCCACCUUUGUGCCUAUGCCCAUCUGACCCUCUUAGCAGGCUGCCUGUGGUGGCGUCAUGGUGCUGAGUAUGGCUCUCCUAGGGAGAGCUGACUGCCACAGGACACCUACAGAGGGCAGUUUCCAAGACCAGGAAGCAUGAGUGGCUGGUUCUUAGAUGAGAAGACAAGGCUAACAGGAAACAGAACAUAGAAGGAGUGUAAAAGACAAGGGGGUUGGCCUCUAGUAGGGUCGGGAAUGGCUACCAAAAGCUGCGUUUUCUGAAGAACAGCUUGGGAAUGUGAGCAAUGGUCUCCCUGUGACCAGGUUUGAUCCAGACUCAGUAAUUUCUGGCUUUCAGGCUGAAAUGCCUCAGGCGGUGGACUCUCUCUGAGGACAAAAUCAUCUAUAGCCCAGGCUGACCUCUAGUUCACAGUAUAGCUGAGGAUGACUCUGGAUUUCUGAUCACCCUGCCUCUAAGCUCUGAGCAAUGGAGUUACAGCGACUGAGCACAGCAUCAGGCCCCAGGGGAGACUGUUCCCCCAAAGCUGCUGCCAUUGGAGAUGCAGGAAGGGGGGACAAGUGGGCCCAAGAGGAACCAGAUGAUUCUGGAUCAUGUCAGGAGGAGCAGGAGGUAGGUAUAAGGUCCGUGUGGAUCUGUGUCUAUGU
rnacentral:lncRNA from 1 species